GUUGUAAGAGAGCAGCGAGGGUUACCACAGUGAUGUUUUUGCAAAAAUACCGGCCACGCCAAUCUUUUCGGAGGGAGUAUAUGCUAAGCAGUAUCCUUCGAAACACCCUUAAUUUGGAGACACUUGGAGUGCACCAAUGCAAGUUUGUAGGCUCGCGGCCGAAGAAGAGGACACCUUCCAAACGCCAUGGAUCAAGAACUACAGAUCUUCAUCAGUACAAGAACCUGAAAUUGAUAGAGAUCAAGAGCCAUUUUGACGAUGUGUUUGAAUUUGAAACCCGUGGACUUCUAUCGGAAGUUUCCGAGGAAAUGCCGAUGGCACAGUGGCGGCAGGUCUUCCAAGCGGGCUUGAUGCAGUUUCAUAGAACGGAGAAAGGGGCAAAACUGAUUGAGAGAUACUUCUAGUUUCCAAUCAUUCGCAAAUUAUUCGAUUCUGAUUCUGAAUAAUGUUGGAGUAUUAUUUUUACUCUGUAUGUUGAUUUACAUCCCCCUUUGUAGUCUCCAACUAGCAAUUCAUGUUGAAAGAAAUACUUCUGUCAAUGUAUGUAUCAGCUGUUACAACAUUUCCAGUUUAAUUAGCGUAUCAUCCAACGUUUUGCUCAGUUCAUCA